UACAGAGGUCCCAAGCGUUGUUCGGAUUCAUUGGGCGUAAAGGGUGCGUAGGUGGCGCCGUAAGUCAGGUGUGAAAUCUCGGGGCUUAACUCCGAAACUGCAUUUGAUACUGCGGUGCUUGAGGACUGGAGAGGAGACUGGAAUUUACGGUGUAGCAGUGAAAUGCGUAGAGAUCGUAAGGAAGACCAGUGGCGAAGGCGGGUCUCUGGACAGUCCCUGACACUGAGGCACGAAGGCCAGGGGAGCAAACGGG
rnacentral:rRNA from 1 species